GAGUGGAUAGCUCAGUCAGUACAGCAUGAGACUUUUAAUCUCAAGGUCAUGGGUUCGAUUCUCAUGUUGUGCA